rnacentral:rRNA from 1 species
CGUGCCAGCAGCCGCGGUAAUACGUAGGUGGCAAGCGUUAUCCGGAAUUAUUGGGCGUAAAGCGCGCGUAGGCGGUUUUUUAAGUCUGAUGUGAAAGCCCACGGCUCAACCGUGGAGGGUCAUUGGAAACUGGAAAACUUGAGUGCAGAAGAGGAAAGUGGAAUUCCAUGUGUAGCGGUGAAAUGCGCAGAGAUAUGGAGGAACACCAGUGGCGAAGGCGACUUUCUGGUCUGUAACUGACGCUGAUGUGCGAAAGCGUGGGGAUCAAACAGGAUUAGAUACCCUGGUAGUCCACGCCGUAAACGAUGA